UGGGGGAUAUUGCACAAUGGGCGCAAGCCUGAUGCAGCGACGCCGCGUGAGGGAUGACGGCUUUCGGGUUGUAAACCUCUUUCGCUACCGAACAAGGCUCCAUAUUGGUGGGGUUGAGGGUAGGUGGAUAAGAAGCGCCGGCUAACUACGUGCCAGCAGCCGCGGUAAUACGUAGGGCGCGAGCGUUGUCCGGAAUUAUUGGGCGUAAAGAGCUCGUAGGCGGCUUGUCACGUCUGCUGUGAAAACGCGGGGCUUAACUCCGCGCGUGCAGUGGGUACGGGCAGGCUAGAGUGUGGUAGGGGUGACUGGAAUUCCUGGUGUAGCGGUGGAAUGCGCAGAUAUCAGGAGGAACACCGAUGGCGAAGGCAGGUCACUGGGCCAUUACUGACGCUGAGGAGCG
rnacentral:rRNA from 1 species